UCACUACUUGCGUAGGCAGUCUGGCUAGAGUCCCCACCACAACGUGCUGGUAACUAACCACAGGGGUUGCGCUCGUUGCGCCACUUAAGGCAACACCUCACGGCACGAGCUGACGACAGCCAUGCAGCACCUUCCAUGAUGCCCCGAAGGGAAGCCCCGUUUCGGGGGCGGUCAUCACGGAUUUAGCCCAGGUAAGGUGGGGAUGACGUAACACGCAAUAACA
rnacentral:misc_RNA from 1 species